GGGUGACAUGAUGAUUUCUAAUCCAUAGAAAUAUUUCUGCAUUUUAGAUGAUGAGUAUAUAUAAACAUGCACUACCAUCUGAUCUCCC